AUGCAAGUCGAACGCUUUGUGGUUCAACUGAUUUGAAGAGCUUGCUCAGAUAUGACGAUGGACAUUGCAAAGAGUGGCGAACGGGUGAGUAACACGUGGGAAACCUACCUCUUAGCAGGGGAUAACAUUUGGAAACAGAUGCUAAUACCGUAUAACAAUGACAACCGCAUGGUUGUUAUUUAAAAGAUGGUUCUGCUAUCACUAAGAGAUGGUCCCGCGGUGCAUUAGCUAGUUGGUAAGGUAAUGGCUUACCAAGGCGAUGAUGCAUAGCCGAGUUGAGAGACUGAUCGGCCACAAUGGGACUGAGACACGGCCCAUACUCCUACGGGAGGCAGCAGUAGGGAAUCUUCCACAAUGGGCGAAAGCCUGAUGGAGCAACGCCGCGUGUGUGAUGAAGGGUUUCGGCUCGUAAAACACUGUUGUAAGAGAAGAAUGACAUUGAGAGUAACUGUUCAAUGUGUGACGGUAUCUUACCAGAAAGGAACGGCUAAAUACGUGCCAGCAGCCGCGGUAAUACGUAUGUUCCAAGCGUUAUCCGGAUUUAUUGGGCGUAAAGCGAGCGCAGACGGUUAUUUAAGUCUGAAGUGAAAGCCCUCAGCUCAACUGAGGAAUUGCUUUGGAAACUGGAUGACUUGAGUGCAGUAGAGGAAAGUGGAACUCCAUGUGUAGCGGUGAAAUGCGUAGAUAUAUGGAAGAACACCAGUGGCGAAGGCGGCUUUCUGGACUGUAACUGACGUUGAGGCUCGAAAGUGUGGGUAGCAAACAGGAUUAGAUACCCUGGUAGUCCACACCGUAAACGAUGAGUGCUAGGUGUUUGAGGGUUUCCGCCCUUAAGUGCCGCAGCUAACGCAUUAAGCACUCCGCCUGGGGAGUACGACCGCAAGGUUGAAACUCAAAGGAAUUGACGGGGACCCGCACAAGCGGUGGAGCAUGUGGUUUAAUUCGAAGCAACGCGAAGAACCUUACCAGGUCUUGACAUCCCUUGACAACUCCAGAGAUGGAGCGUUCCCUUCGGGGACAAGGUGACAGGUGGUGCAUGGUUGUCGUCAGCUCGUGUCGUGAGAUGUUGGGUUAAGUCCCGCAACGAGCGCAACCCUUAUUACUAGUUGCCAGCAUUCAGUUGGGCACUCUAGUGAGACUGCCGGUGACAAACCGGAGGAAGGUGGGGAUGACGUCAAAUCAUCAUGCCCCUUAUGACCUGGGCUACACACGUGCUACAAUGGCGUAUACAACGAGUUGCCAACCCGCGAGGGUGAGCUAAUCUCUUAAAGUACGUCUCAGUUCGGAUUGUAGGCUGCAACUCGCCUACAUGAAGUCGGAAUCGCUAGUAAUCGCGGAUCAGCACGCCGCGGUGAAUACGUUCCCGGGUCUUGUACACACCGCCCGUCACACCAUGAGAGUUUGUAACACCCAAAGCCGGUGGGGUAACCUUCGGGAGCCAGC
rnacentral:rRNA from 1 species